GGCAGGCAAACCAGAUAGAAUUAUAUCUAAAAGCGGAGAGCAGCAUCCAUAUUGUAAAUCAUGGAGACGUUGGCUUUGCGAUGAAGAUAAGAUUUCCUGGAAUACGGCCCAAAUGCAUUUAUCUAUCUGCUGGCUGGGUGACUGCUAUCAAUAACAAGUCGACAAGGCAAUUCAAGGAUUGGCUGCGAGGAGAUGUGGGGCCAACAUGAUUCAUUCAUCCCGAUAAUAAGUACCCCUGAUAAGGGGCACAAAGUGUGAAAUCAGAAUGACAGUAUUUAUUUAUAAACCAUCGCGAAUAAAAGCGCCUCAAUUGCUGGUCAA